rnacentral:rRNA from 1 species
UCGGGAAUUUUGGGCAAUGGGGGAAACCCUGACCCAGCAACGCCGCGUGAAGGAUGAAGUAUUUCGGUAUGUAAACUUCGAAAGAAUAGGAAGAAUAAAUGACGGUACUAUUUAUAAGGUCCGGCUAACUACGUGCCAGCAGCCGCGGUAAUACGUAGGGACCAAGCGUUGUUCGGAUUUACUGGGCGUAAAGGGCGCGUAGGCGGCAUGACAAGUCACUUGUGAAAUCUCUGGGCUUAACCCAGAACGGCCAAGUGAUACUGUCGCGCUAGAGUGCAGAAGGGGCAAUCGGAAUUCUUGGUGUAGCGGUGAAAUGCGUAGAUAUCAAGAGGAACACCCGAGGUGAAGACGGGUUGCUGGGCUGACACUGACGCUGAGGCGCGAAAGCCAGGGGAGCAAACGGGAUUAGAUACCCCAGUAGUCCCUGAGCGGGCUGGCAAGGCGCAU